rnacentral:rRNA from 1 species
AGUGAACGCUGGCGGUAGGCCUAACACAUGCAAGUCGAACGGCAGCACAGUAAGAGCUUGCUCUUACGGGUGGCGAGUGGCGGACGGGUGAGGAAUACAACGGAAUCUACUCUUUCGUGGGGGAUAACGUAGGGAAACUUACGCUAAUACCGCAUACGACCUACGGGUGAAAGCAGGGGAACGUCGGACCGGGCGGGGGGGGAUGAGCUGGUGGCUGAUCAGCUAGUUGGCGGGGUACAGGCCUACCAAGGCUUUGAUGGGGAGCCGGCCUGAGAGGGUGGCCGGCCACAUUGGGACUGAGAUACGGCCCAGACUCCUACGGGAGGCAGCAGUGGGGAAUAUUGCACAAUGGGCGGAAGCCUGAUGCAGCAACGCCGCGUGCGGGAUGACGGCCUUCGGGUUGUAAACCGCUUUCGCCUGUGACGAAGCGUGAGUGACGGUAAUGGGUAAAGAAGCACCGGCUAACUACGUG